UAUCUCUGUAGAGUCUGCAUAUCAAUAAGCGGAGGAAAAGAAACUAACUAGGAUUCCCUUAGUAACGGCGAGUGAAGCGGGAAGAGCUCAAAUUUGAAAUCUUCAAGGUUUUACCUUGACGAAUUGUAGUUUAAAGAAGUGUUUUCUGUUGAAGUUUCGGUAAAAGUUCUUUGGAAUAGGACAUCAUAGAGGGUGAGAAUCCCGUAUUUGACCAUUAUUUCCAGCUUUGUGAUACACUUUCAAAGAGUCGGAUUGUUUGGGAAUGCAGUCCAAAAUGGGUGGUAAAUUUCAUCUAAAGCUAAAUAUUGGCGAGAGACCGAUAGCGAACAAGUACCGUGAGGGAAAGAUGAAAAGAACUUUGAAAAGAGAGUUAAACAGUACGUGAAAUUGUCAAAAGGGAAGCGUUUGACACCAGUGUUGUUUUCUCGAAAAUCAAUUAAAAAUGGCUUGAUUUUGUGUUGUAUUGACCUUAUAAGCUUUCUUCACUCUUUUCAUUGUCUUUUUUAAUGCACUUUUCGUUUAACAAGUCAACAUCAAUUUCUUUUGUUGUAAAAGGGUCAUUGGAAGGUGGCUUUCUUUUCGGAGAAAGUGUUUAUAGCCUUUGACUUCUGCAAUCGGAGAGACUUGAGGUCUGCAGCGUAGAUCCUUCGGGAUUAGAUACAUUUGUGCUAAGUUAUAGCCGUUUCAUAGACAACUUGUUGACUAUAUUCGAUCAUGUAGCUUACUCGCUUAUGCUAUUUUACCUACGCUUAGGAUGUUGAAGAUGUAGCACAUCAU
rnacentral:rRNA from 1 species